rnacentral:rRNA from 1 species
GCUUAGCCUUAAACACAGAUGUUUUACUUACAUAUAACAUCCGCCUGGGAACUACGAGCACUAGCUUAAAACCCAAAGGACUUGGCGGUGCUUAAUAACCCCCUAGAGGAGCCUGUUCUAGAACCGAUAACCCUCGUUAAACCUCACCCUUUCUUGCUUAUUCCGCCUAUAUACCGCCGUCGUCAGCUUACCCUGUGAAGGUAAAAUAGUAAGCAAAACUAGUACAACUUAAAACGUCAGGUCGAGGUGUAGCGAAUGAAAGGGGAAGAAAUGGGCUACAUUUCCUGUCAACAGGAAAUUAAACGAAAAGUAUAAUGAAAUUUGUACUAGAAGGAGGAUUUAGUAGUAAGAGGGGAAUAGAGCGCCCUCCUGAAAACGGCCCUUAAGCGCGC